UUCUUCGUUUUCCGACUCUUUUUUUCUAGUCCAAUUGGUAACCAGCGGCAAGAGUGCAACAAAUUCAUCAAUUUCCUUGUGCCAUUAUGAUUAUGUCAUUUAAUUUUAUCGUCGUACGGUCUUCAGCUGGAAAUUGACAAUUAAUUGACAACUUUUGCCUCACGUUGGAAUCAGUCGGAAUACAUUUCUGUAUUCUUAUUUUUAUCUCGCGACGUGUAAAUAUUCAUCGCGCGUGUAACGCAAAAUCGCAUUGCCAAUUUCGGAACAAGGACUUGUAGAGCUAAACAGUUUGGAAAACAAUUGCUGGCGAAGCUACGCUUUCAGAGUUCUAGUCUUUAAAGUGAGGUCUGCCUAAAGUUAAGAAUAUGAUUUUACUGGUCUGUUUGUCUCUUUCUCUCCACCAUUUCAUCCUUUAAUGCUCACUUGCCAUAAAAAAAUUUUAAUUUUGCUAAAGAAACAAUUGUUUUAAGUUUUUCAGGAACCUUGUUUGUGCAUGUGUGUGUAUACGUGUAUUAUUAGAAUGAAAUGAAAAUUGCGGAUUAUUCAGCGUCUUGUAGUGGAACAGACACCCUUGCACUCAUCAAAACGCUCUUGCACACCCUUCACUCUGCUUAGAAAAAUUGCAUGACGUCUGGUGGUUUUGUGUCAACUGUGACGAGCAUCCAGUUGUUCAAGAAAAUCCUUGCUUCUUGCGUGCUCAAGGAAGAUCGCUCGCGUGCGAUCGUAAGAAAAUGCUAAUCCCGGCAUAUAUAGGUAGUGCCCUAGAUUGCUUUCACGAGUCUCUCUCUCUCUCUCUCUCUCUCUCUCUCUCUCGCUCGCUCCAAGCCUGCUAAUGCCGCAGGUACGAUCGGGUGAUCGUACCACGCAACUGUAAAAAACGGCGACUGUAUCGAGCGCUUUGACAUUGCGCGAUUAUCCGGCCAAGUUUAACGUACAUGGACACGCACGAGUCGGAGUAAUUUGCGCUCACUUGUGUUCACUUUUUAAGCUCCGGUAUGCGAAUUGCAUAAAUAUCGCGACGAGCAUAUUUCACGUGAAACUCAGUCUUAAAAUUGAUGUAUGAACAGUAUGGAAAUUGCUCUACCGUCUUGUCAACGGUUCCGACUCGUGUGGCAGAGUGUCGGCUAUGAAAUAUUCAUUCCGCUGGUCUAUGUACAGUCAAUACUCGUGCCAAGUAUUCGUUUACGGAGUGACGAGGCUUUACAUCUGCUACGGACGCCGCAAGUGCGAAGGGUAUGCGAUGCUGCCGAUUUCGACGGCGUGUAAGCACGCGUUCGUUAUAAUGCAGAGGUCUACCACGUAAGAGCAAGUGAUACGAGAACAUUUCCAAUCCUAUCUUGACGCGGGUGAGCAAGGAUGAAUCGAUACAUAACUUUGAACCAAUUGGGCGAUGGAACCUUCGGUUCCGUCGUUCUCGGGGAACGCAUCGAUACGGGUGAAAAGGUCGCUAUAAAGAGAAUGAAGAGAAAGUACUAUUCUUGGGAGGAAGCUAUGAAUUUGCGAGAAGUAAAGUCAUUGAAAAAGCUCAGUCACGCAAACGUCGUGAAGCUGAAGGAAGUUAUACGGGAGAACGACGUGCUGUACUUUGUAUUUGAAUACAUGAAGGAAAAUCUCUAUCAGCUGAUGAAAGACAGGGAUAAACUUUUUCCCGAGCCGGUGAUAAGGAACAUGGUGUACCAAGUAUUGCAAGGUCUCGCUUUCAUGCACAAGCAUGGCUUUUUCCAUCGUGACAUGAAGCCGGAAAAUUUACUGUGCAUGGGACCGGAAUUGGUGAAGAUCGCUGAUUUCGGGCUGGCGCGAGAGAUCAGAUCGAGACCGCCAUACACGGAUUACGUGUCGACGAGAUGGUAUCGGGCACCGGAAGUGUUGCUGCAUUCCACGACUUACAACAGCCCGAUCGAUAUUUGGGCGGUCGGCUGUAUAAUGGCCGAGUUGUAUACAUUUAGGCCUCUGUUUCCCGGCAAGAGCGAAAUUGACGAGAUAUUUAAGAUAUGCUCCGUGGUCGGGACUCCCGACAAGGAUGACUGGCCAGAGGGAUACCAAUUGGCCACGGCUAUGAACUUCAAAUUUCCAAAUUUCACGCGCACGUCGUUGGCUGUUUUGAUACCGAACGCUGGUGAAGAAGCGGUCAUAAUCAUGGAAGAUAUGUUACAGUGGAAUCCUCUAAAGAGACCAACGGCACAACAGUCGCUUAGGUAUCCGUACUUUCAAGUCGGUGACCCGCGUAUCAUUAAUAGCAAAAAGAUCGGUGUCGUAUCUCAACGGGAGCUUGCCAUGAACAAAAUAAAUCUUCCAUCAGCUACACCUAAGCAAUACAACAAUUACCCUCACAAGGACGUUGUUAAUAGCGUACUUCAAUCAAGAGCACCUGAAGUGGUGGUUGAACCGCAACAGCAAUCGGCUACCUUACCAUUGUUGAACUAUAAUAAUCGCAAGAACGACAACAGUGUUUCCAAACAGUGGGACGAUGACGAAUUCGCUGAACUUUUGGGAAGUAAAAUCGUCCCGGAGAACACGAGCGCGAUGCUCUUGCCCGAUCGGGUGUACAAGGAAAAUCGUGCCAAUUGGAAUGCCAACUAUCAGCAGGCCGACGGCAUGAAGCACGGCAAUGCGAACUGGUCGCUGCCAGCGUGGCAGGAAGCACCGUCGAGAGUGUGGAACCAGUCGAAUCAGUCCAACCAGAUGAAGAGCUCGCGCAAGGUCUCGGCGAAGCAGCACUACCUCAGUGUGGCUCGGUACGUCGCAGGCCAGAGCACAAAUUUGCCAUCCAGGUAUAGAAAGUUCCGAGAUUUACUCGAGAGAGUCCUGAUCGCGUGCACGAUGUUGAUACUCUGCCAUGUCCUGGCGCGAUCGCACAUCGGACAGGAUAUCUUUCUCGGCGACUCGAUCAGUUCCCUUGAACUUGUGCCACUUGCAAAGAAUCAUUCUCACACGGCGCAGUCCUACGUGAUUGUCCGCAAAUCGAUUUCCACACUGAUCGAUGUUGUGCAACAUUUAACCGCUGCACUGGCGAGAAUUUUAUUUCCGUUGGAUAUCUUCCCGAACAUUUCCGAACUCGUUGAGUUCGUUCGUCGAUUCACUUUCGACGCAAUGCGUCUUUCAUGUUCGUAUCGAAUCUUGCUGAUUCAUUCUGCCAAAUACCUCUGCCAAAUAAAAUGUUUCGCGACAAUGACGGACUUGUUAAUUUGGAUGGACCAAAUUACGCAAUCCCUCACGCUGCGUAUGACAUGCGCGCUGCAACACGUUUUGACAAUCUUGUUCUGACUAUCGACUUUGUAAUUUUCGGCAAUGAUGCCGCGUUAACUGAAUGGCAGUAAAUGUGUACCGAGUGGAGCAAUUGUUGAAAACUAAAACGUUCGUAUAAUGAAAUGAGGAUACCGAUAUCAACCGAUCGAAAUUGCUAUUGAGCGGAUUCAUCGGUCAGGCAACGUCCAACAAAUAUGACGACUUUACAG